rnacentral:rRNA from 1 species
UACGUAGGGUGCGAGCGUUGUCCGGAAUUACUGGGCGUAAAGAGCUCGUAGGUGGUUUGUCGCGUUGUUCGUGAAAACUCACAGCUCAACUGUGGGCGUGCGGGCGAUACGGGCAGACUGGAGUACUGCAGGGGAGACUGGAAUUCCUGGUGUAGCGGUGGAAUGCGCAGAUAUCAGGAGGAACACCGGUGGCGAAGGCGGGUCUCUGGACAGUUCCUGACGCUGAGGCACGAAGGUCAGGGGAGCAAACGGG